GUCAGAGAGUCAGAGAAGCUCCAUCAUGUCACCUUCAACACCAACCAUGUUCUCUGGAGCUCUGCUGCUGCUGGCUGCUGGAUCCUGUGUGAAGGCUGAAACUCUGACACAGCCAGCCUCUGUGACUGUGCAGCCAGGUCAGAGUCUGACCAUCACCUGUCAGGUCUCUUAUACUCCCAGCAGCUACUACACAGCCUGGAUCAGACAGCCUGCAGGGAAAGGACUGGAGUGGAUCGGGAUGAGAUCUGGGUCCGCCACAUACUACAAAGAUUCACUGAGGAACAAGUUCAGCAUUGAUGAAGACUCUUCCAGAAACACAGUGACUCUAAAUGGGCAGAACAUGCAGCCUGAAGACUCUGCUGUGUAUUUCUGUGCCAGGAGAGACACAGUGAGAGAGAAGAACAGGAGAGUCGUACAAAAACUACUUCCUCUUUUCACCAUUAUCACUGGGAACACUGUAAACUCUUCUGUUUGCAAUAUUAACCUCACUAACAGUCACUGA